GAGGGUGUCAGGAGAUGCAAAAUGUUACCAGGGUUGCUUAGCGUAGGCAAUAUGGUAAAUAGCACUCUGGGGAAAGAGUUUUCAAAGUGCAUUUAAUUGCAUUUUCCGCUUCUCCUAACAACAAGGGAUUAAACUAGAAUGAAAUGUGAUGGAACUGGUUCCUGCUUGAAGAAAGAUGUGCAGCUUGGCAAAUAGUGUUUGUUAAUAUGCUAGGGAAAAGGCUAAGCCUGCCUUGGAGAAAUAAACAUCUAUGCUUGCUACUUUAAAGAAUCAGCAAUCCUAGAAGCAAGAGCUGUCAAAGCAUCCCAGCAUCAGUGACAAACUGUCGAGGUAACAAGGAAGUCAGGCAGUUUUUCUAGGAAAAGAGUCUGUCAUCAUAUGAAAGCCUAUUGUAGUGGACAUCUAAGACCACCGAGGGCAUCACCAGGAAUCUGAACUCCAUAAAGACCUGCAGGCAAGAAGAGGAGAAAGCAGCUGAAGACCAGCCAACCAGAACUGCAGGCUGCCACUUCAGACUCUUUCAUGCAUAAGAACUGCAAAACAUUGCCACCUGUGGAGAGCGCGACGACUGAAAAAUACGAGGGGUCAACUGCAAUCUGUGUAUUGUUACGUGUUUAUGGCAUGAGCCCUCUGGUACUAUUUUCAGAGAAACUCUUUUAUUAUUGAAUGGUGAUUUGCUGCUCCUGUUGAUAACACGUAAAUAUUAAAUUGAACGGGAGAAAGAGAGAUUACAAGGUGGGGAGUACAUGCUGUCUAUCUACCGUAUUUUUCGCCCUAUAGGACGCACUGGCCCAUAGGAUGCAACUAGCUUUUGGGGGGGAA